rnacentral:rRNA from 1 species
GUCCUAGAGAUAGGAUUUUCCCUUCGGGGACCGCUGGUUCAGGUGCUGCAUGGCUGUCGUCAGCUCGUGCCGUGAGGUGUUGGGUUAACGUCCCGCAACGAGCGCAACCCUCGUACUUAGUUGCCACCAUUCAGUUGGGCACUCUAGGUAGACUGCCGGCGUUAAGCCGGAGGAAGGUGGGGACGACGUCAAGUCAUCAUGGCCCUUAUGCCCAGGGCCACACACGUGCUACAAUGGGCGGCACAAAGGGUCGCGAACCCGCGAGGGGGAGCCAAUCCCAAAAAGCCGUUCUCAGUUCGGAUUGGAGUCUGCAACUCGACUCCAUGAAGUUGGAAUCGCUAGUAAUCGCGGAUCAGCACGCCGCGGUGAAUACGUUCCCGGGCCUU